UUGAAAUUUUGAAGACGUUGAGAGACUUGGGUGUUCGGACAGACAGAAGAAGUUCGUUCCACCACUUGGGUGCUAGUACAGAAAAGAGUGUUGAUACUCGUCUUCUCCGAGUUCUGGGUGGAGGAUCAAGGCGAGCGAGACUAGUGGCUCGGAGGUUGUGUGGUACAGAGCGAAGUGUGAUGAGUUCUCUAAGCUUUUGAGAAGUAGUUUGAUGAUGCUGAGUGAAUGAGAAUCGUCGGAGGGACAGCAACUCUGGACUGUCACCCAGAAACCUGCAGCUGAUUUGUGGGCUACUGGCUGAGGGAUUCUGGGUCAGAAAUUUUUAUUGAGUGCAAUAAGUUCAAGAUCCAGAGCUGCAGGAUUUUUUUAAAAAGUUGGUAAUAGCUUUUUGAUAAUAGUUGUAAUACCUCGUAUAGGAAUGUGAUU